AAUUCGGUUUGUUUAUGCCGCUUGUAGCUGUUUCUACUUUCGAGAGGGAGCAAGCAGGGCCGAGGUUCUAAUUGUCGGUGAUUUCGGGCUGAGCAAAAAGGAAUCAGUUAACAAGUUUGGGUUAUGGCUUGCAUUUUGAGGAUAUGGGCGCAGAAGUCACGAAGAGUUUAUU